rnacentral:ncRNA from 1 species
AAAAAACUAUGUUAAAAUAUUGAUUAAUAAAUAAAUUUUUAUAGUUUAUAAAUUUUAUUAUAAAUUUAUUUUGCAUAUAAAUUUUAGUGUUAAUUUUUAAUUAUUUUAAUAAUAAUUAAUUAAUUAUGUAGUAAUUAAUAUUAAAAAUUUAAGAAAUUAAGAUUUAGUAAUAUUUAAAUUAAUAACAAAUUUUGUGCCAGCAGUUGCGGUUAAACAAAAGUUAAAUUAAAUUUUAUUAGUAAUUAAUUAAAUAAAUUUAUUUAUAUUUACGAAAAUAUUAAAUUAUUAAGUGAAAUUUUAAUUUAAUUAAAUUUAAAUUAAAAAUUUAUUAAUUUAAUAAAUUUUAUAUAUAAACUAGGAUUAGAUACCCUAUUAUUGAAAAUUUAAAUUAAAAAUACUAAAAUAGUAUUUAAUUAUUUAUUGAAACUUAAAUAAUUUGGCGGUAUUUUAGUUUAUUUAGAGGAAUCUGUUUAAUAAUUGAUAAUUCACGAAUAAAUUUACUUAAUUUUAUUAUUUUGUAUAUCGUUGUUAUAAAAAUAUUUUUAUAUAAAAAUAAUAUUUUAAAUUUAUUAAAAAAAAAUUAAAUCAGAUCAAGAUGCAGAUUAUAAUUAAGAAUAUAAUGGAUUACAAUAAAUUUAUUUUAUAAUGAAUAUUAAUUUGUAAUAAUUAAUUAAAGGUGGAUUUAAAUGUAAUUUUAUUUAAUUUAUUAAAAUGAUUUAAAAUUAAAAUAUGUACAUAUUGCCCGUCGCUUUCAUUAAUAAAUUGGAAUAAGUCGUAACAAAGUAGGGGUACUGGAAAGUGUUUCUAGAAAUAC